UCUCCGUAGGUGAACCUGCGGAGGGAUCAUUAAAGAGUUCAUGAGUUACGGGUAGAUCUCCCACCCAUUUCUAUCACUACUCACGUUGCUUUGGCGGUCCGCUGGGCACUGCCCGGCCGACGGCCCCGUCUGGCGCGCGCCCGCCAGAGACCUCACAGACUCUGAAUGUUAGUGUCGUCCGCGUAACAAUAUAAUCGUUACAACUUUCAACAACGGAUCUCUUGGUUCUG
rnacentral:misc_RNA from 1 species